UGCAUCGGCCGCCCCCUAUCUCGACCAAUGACUCGCUGUCAGAGUCCGACUCGGUUUCGAGAGCCUGGUUCCCUGAGAUUGUUUCCCUCGGGCUAGCUGCGACCAAAACAAUGCAGCAGGUGAGACAGAACCCCGGUGUGUCUCUAUCAAUCUCCUUCCCAACUCUAAAUCAGUCAGUGUAGUUCUAUUUCUAUGCUGGACCAGGGCAAUUUUGGCAGACAAGAUUGUAAAUCUUAGGAAUUUUGGAGCAGACGGAAACGUCCGCACACAGAUCAGCAGGCUGAAGGCGCAUACCGGAGACGGCGGGCGUUUGCGACUGGGUUGGCGCCGGGACGGUGUGGUGCGGCGCCCGGAGGCCUUCGGACCACCACAGGUGGCCGGCGUUGCUCCCUUCCAGCUCCAGGGCGUUCUGCUUGAGCACAGGAUGAAAAUUCAGUUAAACGCACGAACAGUAAAGGUACAGAAGCAGAGGCUGAGCUAUGAAGGAAGCUUCGGGGUAGUAGCAGCUGCUCACCGAGUCGCCGAAGCAGAGGCCCGGCAGGCCACCGCCGGGGGAGAACACGUCCGCUCUGGCGCCAGGAUCACCGCCGAACCCGCCGUCGUCGUUUCCAUGCCCGGGCCUGCCCCGCUGGGCCUCGGCCUCGGCGGCGGCGAUGUGCUGCCGAAUGAAGGCCUCGAACUCCAGCUCCGACGCGCACUUCUUCAUCUCUGACGGCUGCCUGCCUCUCCGUCUGUUCGUCACGGUGGUGGUGUUGUCGUCACUCUGUGCGUCUGUCUGUCUUUCUUGGCGAGGCCUCCGUUGCGGGGGGUGACAGCGUCGCCGGCGACGGCUUUUAUGGGGCGCGGGAAGGGGACGUGGAAAGCUCCGUUGGGGGAGAUGAAUAUGAUAGCGGCUGCGUGAAUGGACAGUGACGCGGGCUGACUCGGAUCCUCGUAAGGCCGAGAGGGAGGCAGCGUGCAAGGCUGGGUAGGGGCGUGCUUGCGUGUCCGUCGGCGACUUUUCAUUGGGUUCGGGACUUCAGAUCUGCUGCAAGUAUACUUAAAUAAUAGUAUUACGAUCGGAUGAAUCGGAUUGCAUUCAGUUAUCUUAUUGGUACAAGAUUAUGUUAUCCGGUGGC